AACGAACGCUGGCGGCGCGCUUAACACAUGCAAGUCGAACGCAUGCUUGAUCUUCGGGUUGGGCAUGAGUGGCGGACGGGUGAGUAACGCGUGGGAACCUGCCCUGAGGUUCGGGACAACCGUGGGAAACUGCGGCUAAUACCGGAUAUCUCCUUUGGGAGAAAGACUUGUCGCCUUGGGAGGGGCCCGCGUCGGAUUAGCUUGUUGGUGGGGUAACGGCCUACCAAGGCAUCGAUCCGUAGCUGGUCUGAGAGGAUGAUCAGCCACACUGGGACUGAGACACGGCCCAGACUCCUACGGGAGGCAGCAGUGGGGAAUCUUGGACAAUGGGGGCAACCCUGAUCCAGCGACGCCGCGUGGGUGACGAAGGCCUCGGUUGUAAGACCGUUUCUUCGGUACGGAGUAGAG
rnacentral:rRNA from 1 species